rnacentral:SRP_RNA from 1 species
GCUGGGCGUGGUGGUGUAUGCCUGUAGUCCCAGCUACUUGGAGGCUGAGACAGGAGGAUCACCUGAACCCGGGGAGGUCAAGGCUGCAGUGAGCUGUGAUCUGGCCACUGCACUCUAUCCUGGGUGACACAAUGAGACCCUGUCUCAA